rnacentral:rRNA from 1 species
CCCUUAGAUGUUCUGGGCCGCACGCGCGCUACACUGACGAAUGCAACGAGCUUAUAACCUUGGCCGAAAGGUCUGGGUAAUCUCCAAAUUUCGUCGUGAUGGGGAUAGAUUAUUGCAAUUAUUAAUCUUCAACGAGGAAUGCCUAGUAAGCGCAAGUCAUCAGCUUGCGUUGAUUACGUCCCUGCCCUUUGUACACACCGCCCGUCGCUCCUACCGAUUGAAUGGUCCGGUGAAGCGUUCGGACCGUGGCCUUUGGACGGUUCGCCGUCUGAUGGCUGCGGGAAGUUCGUUAAACCUUAUCAUUUAGAGGAAGGAGAAGUCGUAACA